UGGGGAAUCUUAGGCAAUGGGGGAAACCCUGACCUAGCCAUGCCGCGUGGAGGAAGACACCCCUAUGGGGCGUAAACUCCUUUUCUACCGGAAGAAAACCUCGUUUUGCGAGGCGUGACGGUACGGUAGGAAUAAGCACCGGCUAACUCCGUGCCAGCAGCCGCGGUAAUACGGAGGGUGCAAGCGUUGUCCGGAAUCACUGGGCGUAAAGGGUGUGCAGGUGGGACAGCAAGUCAGAGGUGAAAGCCCACGGCUUAACCGUGGAAGUGCCUUUGAAACUGCUGUUCUUGAGUCCCGGAGAGGUUGCUGGAAUUCGUGGUGUAGCGGUGAAAUGCGUAGAUAUCACGAGGAACACCAGAGGCGUAAGCGAGCAACUAGACGGGUACUGACACUGAGGCACGAGAGCGUGGGGAGCAAACAGGAUUAGAUACCCCCGUAGUCC
rnacentral:rRNA from 1 species